AACGCACAUUGCGCCCCUUGGUAUUCCGGGGGGCAUGCCUGUUCGAGCGUCAUUUCAACCCUCAAGCUCUGCUUGGUCUUGGGCCGCGCCGGCGACGGCGGGCCUCAAAAUCAGUGGCGGCGCCAUCGGGUCCCUCAGCGUAGUACUUCUUCUCGCUGUUGGGUCCCGGUGGCCGCCGGCCAGCAACCCCCAAUUUUCUAUGGUUGACCUCGGAUCAGGUAGGGAUACCCGCUGAACUUAA
rnacentral:misc_RNA from 1 species